rnacentral:rRNA from 1 species
UUUGCUCACACUCUAACCUGUUCAAAGGCGAAUUCCUAACGACGUCAGCAAGCUGUCGUCACCAGGAUACCAAAGAGAAGCCAGGUGGAACAGCCCUAAAGGUAUUCGUUGCAAUCCUCAAUCCCGAUCACCACAUUCCGCUAAAGGUUAUAACACUCCCGAAAGAGCCACAUCCCUCUGACCUUUUUAUGACAAUCGAAAUUGACGCUGACCAGCAGACACCAAAAUGCACGGACAAACACAAGCAAAAGCUAGCAUUUAAACCGUUGAAUCGAUGACUGCACGACUG